UACGUAGGGUGCAAGCGUUGUCCGGAAUUAUUGGGCGUAAAGAGCUCGUAGGCGGUUUGUCGCGUCUGCUGUGAAAACUGGGGGCUCAACCCCCAGCCUGCAGUGGGUACGGGCAGACUAGAGUGCGGUAGGGGAGAUUGGAAUUCCUGGUGUAGCGGUGGAAUGCGCAGAUAUCAGGAGGAACACCGAUGGCGAAGGCAGAUCUCUGGGCCGUAACUGACGCUGAGGCGCGAAAGCGUGGGGAGCAAACAGG
rnacentral:rRNA from 1 species